rnacentral:rRNA from 1 species
AGACCCGAAACCCGGUGAUCUAGCCAUGGGCAGGUUGAAGGUUGGGUAACACUAACUGGAGGACCGAACCGACUAAUGUUGAAAAAUUAGCGGAUGACCUGUGGCUGGGGGUGAAAGGCCAAUCAAACCGGGAGAUAGCUGGUUCUCCCCGAAAGCUAUUUAGGUAGCGCCUCGUGAAUUCAUCUCCGGGGGUAGAGCACUGUUUCGGCUAGGGGGCCAUCCCGGCUUACCAACCCGAUGCAAACUGCGAAUACCGGAGAAUGUUAUCACGGGAGACACACGGCGGGUGCUAACGUCCGUCGUGAAGAGGGAAACAACCCAGACCGCCAGCUAAGGUCCCAAAGUCAUGGUUAAGUGGGAAACGAUGUGGGAAGGCCCAGACAGCCAGGAUGUUGGCUUAGAAGCAGCCAUCAUUUAAAGAAAGCGUAAUAGCUCACUGGUCGAGUCGGCCUGCGCGGAAGAUGUAACGGGGCUAAACCAUGCACCGAAGCUGCGGCAGCGAACGUAUCACCCAAGACAACUUUACGGAGUUGACGAUUGACGGAGCGAAGCGACGUCAAAGCGUUCAUUAAAGUCGAGUUGGCUUAGGGAUACGUUCGUUGGGUAGGGGAGCGUUCUGUAAGCCUGUGAAGGUGUGUCGUGAGGCAUGCUGGAGGUAUCAGAAGUGCGAAUGCUGACAUAAGUAACGAUAAAGCGGGUGAAAAGCCCGCUCGCCGGAAGACCAAGGGUUCCUGUCCAACGUUAAUCGGGGCAGGGUGAGUCGACCCCUAAGGCGAGGCCGAAAGGCGUAGUCGAUGGGAAACGGGUUAAUAUUCCCGUACUUGGUGUUACUGCGAAGGGGGGACGGAGAAGGCUAUGUUGGCCGGGCGACGGUUGUCCCGGUUUAAGCGUGUAGGUGUGUGUUCCAGGUAAAUCCGGUUCACUUUAACACUGAGGCGUGACGACGAGGCACUACGGUGCUGAAGCAACAAAUGCCCUGCUUCCAGGAAAAGCCUCUAAGCAUCAGGUAACACGAAAUCGUACCCCAAACCGACACAGGUGGUCAGGUAGAGAAUACCAAGGCGCUUGAGAGAACUCGGGUGAAGGAACUAGGCAAAAUGGUGCCGUAACUUCGGGAGAAGGCACGCUGACACGUAGGUGAAGUGAUUUACU